AUGACAACUUUUUCUUUAUGUUUAUUUACUGGUUAUUCGGGUUUGUCUUUUCACUUUUUCUUCGUUCUUCUUCUUUCUCUUCUUAUCUCAUUUUCACAUAUAAACUUUCUCUCUCUCGUUCUUUCUUCACACCGAUCCGAGUCGAACGAGUCAAAUUCACCUCCCAACUCGAACGAGUCAAAUUCACCUCCCAACUCGUUCUGCUACCUUGAAUCAACGAUUCAUCUGUUUGUAUUUUAG